CUUGGUCAUUUAGUGGAAGUAAAAGUCGUAACAAGGUCUCCGUUGGUGAACCAGCGGAGGGAUCAUUACUGAGUUUACGCUCUAUAACCCUUUGUGAACAUACCUAUAACUGUUGCUUCGGCGGGUAGGGUCUCCGCGACCCUCCCGGCCUCCCGCCUCCGGGCGGGUCGGCGCCCGCCGGAGGAUAACCAAACUCUGAUUUAACGACGUUUCUUCUGAGUGGUACAAGCAAAUAAUCAAAACUUUUAACAACGGAUCUCUUGGUUCUGGCAUCGAUGAAGAACGCAGCGAAAUGCGAUAAGUAAUGUGAAUUGCAGAAUUCAGUGAAUCACCGAAUCUUUGAACGCACAUUGCGCCCGCCAGCAUUCUGGCGGGCAUGCCUGUUCGAGCGUCAUUUCAACCCUCAAGCUCUGCUUGGUGUUGGGGCCCUACAGCUGAUGUAGGCCCUCAAAGGUAGUGGCGGACCCUCCCGGAGCCUCCUUUGCGUAGUAACUUUACGUCUCGCACUGGGAUCCGGAGGGACUCUUGCCGUAAAACCCCCUAAUUUUCCAAAGGUUGACCUCGGAUCAGGUAGGAAUACCCGCUGAACUUAAGCAUUUCAAUAAGCGGAGGA
rnacentral:rRNA from 1 species